CCUACGGGCGGCAGCAGUAAGGAAUAUUGGUCAAUGGACGCAAGUCUGAACCAGCCAUGCCGCGUGGAGGAUGAAGGUCCUCUGGAUUGUAAACUUCUUUUAUUUGGGAAGAAACUCCCGAUUUCCAUCGGGAUUGACGGUACCAGAUGAAUAAGCACCGGCUAACUCCGUGCCAGCAGCCGCGGUAAUACGGAGGGUGCAAGCGUAAUCGGGAUUCAGGGGGUUUAAAGGGUGAGGUAAUGGGCAGGUAAAAUCUCCGGGCUUAACCCGGAAACUGCCAUUGAUACUAUUUGUCUUGAAUACUCUGGAGGUGAGCAGAAUAUGUCAUGUAGCGGUGAAAUGCUUAGAUAUGACAUAGAACACCCAUUGCGAAGGCAGCUCACUACGGAAAUAUUGACGCUGAGGCACGAAAGCGUGGGGAUCAAACAGGAUUAGAUACCCUGGUAGUC
rnacentral:rRNA from 1 species